rnacentral:lncRNA from 1 species
AUAAAUUCUCUCCCGAUUCAUUAUAAAUCCUACAGAUACAAUUACAGGUUCGCGACUCCUAUAACUGUGUUAAGCGCUCAAUGACAGAUUAGCAUAAAUAGAGAAAUCACAAUAUUAGCUCACACAAACAUAUUAAGCCAACAAAUACUCCCCAAUCCUCGGAUCAGAGGAUUAGUUACCCAUAACAAUUAAAGAAAACAUGAAUAUAUAUAUAACUGAAAUCAUGUCACAAGAGUACAAGAGUAAGAAAAUACAACUUGACGAAAUCUCUCGAAUUUGGACUGAAUCCCUUCGAUCUUUGCUCGAGUUAUCUCCCAAAGCUUUCUCUACCUCUCUCUCUCAAUACACACAAUAUUCGAUAUCUCUCUAAUCAUACAAAACCUAAUAAUAAUAGUGUUUUUAAUGGGCUCAUUGGACAACAAAUUCGAUCUCCUAAAACAAGUUGGAUUCUGAGACAAAAUUCAUGGGCUGACUUUCAGGCCUGAUUCUGGACUGCUACAGCUGGAUUUUGAUUGCUGGCCCAUUUUAAACUUGUAGAAAAUUUCGAUAUCUUCGCGUGGGCUGUUAAAUCGCCCAAUUCUGACGUCCGGAACUCAAGUUAUGGCCUAAAUAAGAUUUGCUGCGCAGGUAGCCCAUAAAGUCCGAAUUUCCAUCAAAUAAAAGCCCAAAUAAGCUAAUUUCAUCCAACUUAGGAAUAAUUAUUUUCCUGCCAUUAAACACUUAAAAUCAAUUAGUAAUAACCCGAUUAUUUACAAAAUACUACAAUUAUGAGAAUAAAAUCAUAUAAAAGCAUAUAUAAAUAUAUGCUCUAUCAGUUUCCAACUUUUCUUUCCAGUGACCUAGACCAGUUGUAUCAUAUGCUUCCUUUCCUCUGGUUCCAUGAGUUCUGAUCCU